AUGGUCGCUCCAAUUGAUAUUCCUUUUACUGGUGAUAACCCCAUGGCUUACACCAUCUCUGCUAAACAAAGCUUAAACUUUAUUCCAAAUCCUCCUAUUAAGGUGAAAUCAAAAGUCCAGACAUGGCAACACCAAAUGCUGAUCCCCUUUGUUGUUGUAGGGAAACUUUUCGCAUUCCAUGGUCCUUACCCUGGUCCAAAAACGAUCCCUAAAACGACCAGUCAAUACUUUCCCUGCUUUCUUCCUGCUAUCCCUUCUGCCUUUAAUCACACAAAACUCAAUGAUGUCAGGUUUUUGGUUUUUGGUACCAUGGUAUUGUAA